rnacentral:rRNA from 1 species
UACGUAGGUGGCAAGCGUUGUCCGGAUUUAUUGGGUGUAAAGGGCGUGUAGCCGGGUUGACAAGUCAGAUGUGAAAUCCUGCGGCUUAACCGCAGAACUGCAUUUGAAACUGUUGAUCUUGAGUACUGGAGAGGCAGACGGAAUUCCUAGUGUAGCGGUGAAAUGCGUAGAUAUUAGGAGGAACACCAGUGGCGAAGGCGACUUUCUGGACGAUAACUGACGUUGAGGCACGAAAGUGUGGGGAGCAAACAGG